rnacentral:rRNA from 1 species
AUUGAACGCUGGCGGCAGGCCUAACACAUGCAAGUCGAGCGAGCGGCGGACGGGUGAGGAAUACCUCGGAAUCUACUCUGUCGUGGGGGAUAACGUCCGGAAACUUACGCUAAUACCGCAUACGAUUGAAUGAGCCGAGGUCGGAUUAGCUAGUUGGCGGGGUAAAGGCCCACCAAGGCGACGAUCCGUAACUGGUCUGAGAGGAUGAUCAGCCACACUGGAACUGAGACACGGUCCAGACUCCUACGGGAGGCAGCAGUGGGGAAUAUUGGACAAUGGGCGCAAGCCUGAUCCAGCCAUGCCGCGUGGGUGAAGAAGGCCUUCGGGUUGUAAAGCCCUUUUGUUGGGAAAGCGGUACCCAAAGAAUAAGCACCGGCUAACUUCGUGCCAGCAGCCGCGGUAAUUC